rnacentral:sRNA from 1 species
AUGGAAACUGUCUUUGAGCAUGAUAAGUGGGCAUCAGUUUUAGGGGUUUUGAUGGGUUCUCUACAUGGGGAGUACAUUUGGUGAGGCUUUUGGCAAGACAUUUCAGGGUGUUGUGUUAUGACUUAUGAGCAUGUGAAACCCAUGGUGGGGCACUAGGUGACUUUCCUAGUUGAAGACUCACUCUCACUUCUAAAGCAGGUCCCAUGGUUAUGAGUGCGAACUCUUGGUUAUUUAGAUUUUUUUUUUCUACAACUAUGGUGCAUUGGGAUUUUUGUUUAUGAGGAUUGGGAGGUCGAAAACUUGUAAUCCUUUAUUGAUAAGUAAAAAAAUAAAAGGAUUGCGAGCUUUCAACCCCCCAAUUGCUGAACAAAAGUACCAAUGCACUGAAAUUGUGGGGGGGGAAAAAACCUUAGCACUGAAUUUUUAUUUUUAAUUUUUUCUUUCCUUCCUGAUAAAGCUCUACUUGGGUGAACCACGUAAGUGAUAACUCUAUGUGUUCUGUUUAUGUUACUUUCUUCUCUUUUAAAUUUUCUCUCAUAGUAUACUUUUCCCACUUUCGCUGGCAUGAAUGCUUUGUUGGUUGCCAAGCAUGUGCACAUGUUAGUGUUAGUGUCUGGACUUUGGGGAAAUUUGUUGUUCAGACUGUCCUUUUACAUUUCAGGCGUGUUUGUUCAAAAUGAAGUACCACAACAGUUCAAUUUUGGAUGGCUAGAGCAUCUUUUUUGCAAACAUAUGAUUUUUCUUAAUCUAGAUUGCCCCUUGCUGCAAAAAUUGCCAGUAUGUUGUACAAAACCAUUCCAAAUGUUAAAAAGUAAGGUCAAUGACUAUUAUUGUGUCUGCAUGUUGCAAAUAAUAAAUGUUUGAUGUCUUCUUUGCAACCAAAAUUAAACAGAUUCUGCAGUGGUCAGUAUAGUUGGAAGGAGUGAGAAAUGCUUUUACAGGGUACUGUUAUGUUAGCUUAUAUGUGGUCUAAUAUCAAUAUCUAGCACUUGAAGUUGCUUCAAUAUAUUCAAGGUCUUAGCCUUUCCUGCAGUUCACAUUAUUAAAAAUAUCUUAUGGCCAUCAGUCUACUUAGUACUAAUUUUCUACAUUGUGAUAUUCUCCUUAUGUAAUCCUUUCUUUUUCUUGGCUCUAGAUUCUCAAGGAUGAGGCAUGCAAGGGAAGAACCAUCAUGUAGUGCAACAGAAGUAAGAAUUAUCAACUGAAGUAGAAGUUGGUGCAAAAUAUUUUUAUUUUCUAUUUUGCCUCCCCACUUUUCUAUUCAAUGUAGACAGCUGUUUUACCUCUCUUUUAAAAAAAAUCAAGUUUAUUUCUGUUCUUAGGACUCACUCUCUCUCUCUCUCUCUCUCAUAUUAAUAAGUUCAAUCUAUCUGUAUGAACAGGCCAUUGACUUAAUUUCAGCAGUGAAGGAAUUACAUGGGCUUAGCUCUCAGGAACUUAAUAAAUUAUUGAGGGACUCUGAAAAUUUUACUAUUCACUACCAUACUGAAAAAGGAUUGAUGAAGGUCGGACAAAACUGUCAACAUCAUUGUCAUUAUGCGGUCCUGCUCUUACCUAUCCAUUGACAUGUCACAUUUUAUAUUGUCUUAUGUAUCAGAUUGAUAUGGAGAAGCUUGCAUCCUUUCUUCCUUUGCACCUUCUUGGUGUUCUUAUGUCAUCUGACAGAGAUGAGACGUUGUUCAGAUACUUGUUAUGUGGUAUUCGGCUCUUGCAUUCCUUGUGUGAUUUAGCAUCUCGGCAAUCUAAAGUGGAGCAGGUCACUGUUAGUAAUGCCUGCCAAAGCUUUUCUUUAAUUGGUUUCUGUAAUAUUGUACUUGUUUCAUGUGCAGCAUAGUGCAUUCCACAAAUUUUUAUAGCUGUGUGAUCAAUUAGUGUAGUGCAAACACUUGAAAUUACAUAUGUGGUAUAACCUGUAAUGAAUGUGCUAUCAGAAACUUCAAUUAGUUUAGUGAUACUCACAUUUAGGAAAAGUGAGUGGGAGAUAUGGGAAGGGGUGCUGUACACAUUUCCAUGUUGAGGGAUAGGGGUGGGGAGUGUCACUACUUAAAAUUUCAUUUAAAAGAAUAGUCCCCCACCUAUUCUUUUGUGGAUUUGGAUCUGUCUUUUUGGUUAUCAUGGCACCUCUGAAAUAUAUAAUGUAAUAACUAGUUUUUGCAUUUUGGACUGAAUAUUCUCUAAUUUCUUACUGUAGGUGUAUGGCACUUUCUACAGUAUUGGGAACUUUAUUAUUUAUGUCUAAAUAAUUUUUUACCUGAUAAAGGGACAUAAAUCAUAAAUGUGGAUGCUUUCUUUUCUAUGGCAUAGUUUGCUUUAAAAAUUAAAAUAAAAAAUAAAAACCUUAGUCUGUGCCUGUGCUUAGUUUCAUAGAUUUUGUUCACAGGUGGUUGCAAACUCAAAAAAUGGAAGAGGAAGGUUGCAGUAGGUUGAUAGGAAAUGUAAAAUUUGUCACUCUAUCUUGAAUGAAUCCACUAUAAUUGCAUGUUGGGACAUCCAGCAACUUGUUUGCAUCGAACCCAUGAUGUAGUGAAAAGUGGGCAAGGGUUAACCUAGGCAUUCCCUAUGAGUGAUGCACUACAUCAUUGCUCGAGUAUAGUGAAAAAUGGGCAAGAGUUCUUGCACUUUAAUGAGCUGGUGUGGCUAAAGAAGUUGGUUCAAAAGAAUAUGACUCAUAUAGGCACUUAAAAUAUAUGGUCUUUAAUAAGAAAACUAAUGGAAAUAGUAGAUACAAUGACUAGGAGGAGAGUAGACAUCUUCAAGAGAUUGAGUGAUUAUGUGAGAAAUCUAGAGAGAUUGAACAUUCAGGAUAUAAAUUAUGGCAUACACAAAAAAAUAAAAUAGAUAUCAGGUAGGGAUAAUCAUAUAUAAAAGUUUUUAUUUUUUAUUUUUAUAAUUCAAUGGUUGGGGGGAUGAGGGAUUUGAACCCUAAAUUUCUCUUUUGGAAACUUCAAGAGGUGCCAACCAGUUGAGCUACAAGGCACUUGGCUAAUCAUAGAUAAAUGUCUUAGAAGAGAAGUUGAGGUUUGGAGGAUAAGGGAUUGAAUUAUGUUAAUAAAACUUGUCUUAGGAGAAGAGACAAUUAACAUAAUUGUACACGCUUCUCAAAUAGGAUUGGAAGAAUCUGUCAAGUAAAAUCUUUGGGAAGAUAUGGAUGUAUUGAUUCAUGGGUUACCAAAAGAUUUUUAUUGGAGGAGACUUGAAUGGUCAUGUUGGAAAAGAUAGUAUGGGGUUUUGGAAGAUUUCAUGGAAGCUAGGGAUAUAGAAUAAUAAAUGAAUUAGGAGAUGCCAUUAUAGGCAUUGCAACAACUUAUGAUUUGAUAUUAACGAACAUUUGGUUCAAGGAGAGAGGGAAUCAAAUUUAAUCACCUUCAAAAGUGGGACAAACAUUAGUCUAAUAGAUAUCAUCAUUAUUUGAAAAGUGAAUUGUAAAGAUUGUAAAGAUUGUAAGGUGAUACCAGGAGAGAGCAAAGCCAUUAACAUAGGUUGGAGAUACUAAAUAGUUGUAUUCAAAGAUGGAAAAGAAGAGGUAUUGGUAGGGGUGUCCGUGAGUAGGUUGGAGUUGGGUUUAGGGUAAAAUUGUUGGCCAAAAUGACUAAAAUAGGUCUAAAAAAGCUGGAAGUGCCGCUGAACGUCAACACACGAAUUGUCAACCUGUUUGGUGAGUACAAAUCUGAGUAUAAAUCUCUGGUUAAUUCAGUUGAACCUGUGGGCUAAGGGAAAUUCUCCGUAGUCGAUUUGGGAUUUUGAGGUGGAGGGCAUCACUAUCCAGGGAAUGAUGGAUUUGGUAGAGAUCUCAAGAUCUUUGCUAGAUCUUAUAGAGAUCUCAAGCUCUCUGUCGAAGGGGAACAAUGGUGAUCAGGGAAGGAGAUAGAGGUUUGGAGAUGUCAGACGGGUUGGGUUUUGUUGGAUUUCCAACAAUGAAACCCGACACUCAACCUGAUCAUUUGGUUGGAUUUAACUCACUGCCAACCGCCAUGUUUGUUGAAAUUUGCUGAAUGCAUGCCAGGUCGGACUGGUUGAAGUGGGUGGGGGCAGGUUGUUUGGGUGUCUCUGGUGUUUGCCACCUCUUGUUAUUAGAGAAAAAAACUGAAGGAUUAGGUGGUGCGGUUUGAAGAGGGAGAAACAAGAUGUGUUUAAAGAUAAAAUGAUCAAAGAAGUCAAGUGGAAUACAAUGAAGAUGUUGAUAAGUUGUGGAACAAAAUGACUAAUUGUACUAAAAGAGUGGCUAAAGAUGUACUUGGAGAAUCUAAAGAAUGUGGGUGAUCGACUAAGGAGACUUGAUGGUGGAAUAAGGAGGUUCAAUGAUCAAUUAUAUUAAAGAGAGAGAGAGAGAGAGCCUACCUAAAGUAGAGUCGCUGCCACUUAUGAAAAUUAUAAAGUGGCGAAGAUGGAAGCAAAAAAUGGAAGUACAAGAGGCUAAAUGUAAGUUAAAUGAAUUAUAUGGAAAGUUGAGGAUGAAUUAUGGAGAAAAGAAUAUUUAUAUACUCAUGGAUUGGUGUUUGCCUUGAAGUAGCUAUUCACAUUGAAAUUAGUUUGCACCAGUAACAAGUUCCUAUUACCCUUAGUGAAAUCCAUUGCCUGCAUCUCUCUCUUUCCAAUAGUUUUGAUUUUUUAUCAACUAUUGAAGAUUCUGGGGUAGUAUAAGAGGGUAAACUAUGAUUUUCUCCUGCUUUUUGUAUUACAGAUUUUGCUAGAUGACGUAAAAGUGUCAGAACAGCUGCUUGACCUGGUGUUUUAUUUGCUGAUUGUUCUUGGUGGAUAUAAACAGGUGCUCCUUAAUCCUUACCCUUGAGUUCUAUCUUCCAUACUACUUAUCUUUACUGAGACUUGAUUCCAUAAUGCAGGAAAACCAUAAUUUCGGUCUUAUUCCUCUUGUCCAUUCAGCACUUGUGGCAAGCAGUCUACAUCUGUUAACAGGAUGCAUAGCUUCACAGUGGCAAGAUCUUGUCCAUGUAUUGCUUGCACACCCUAAGGUACAAUUUAGAGUUUAGACCACGUUCAUUUGGGAACAUCUUAUUUAGCUUUUUGCUGAAAAUGAGCUAAAGUAUAUUUGUACUUUUGAAAAAGUAAGAAAAAGUAAGGUUUUAAAAAUCUGUACAUAAAAGCUAAAAGCUAAAAGUUGAGCUUAUAAGCUCUAGCCAAACAGACACCAAAUGAUUUGUUUAAGUUGCUAUUUGCAGAAAGAGGGUUCAGUUGGACUAUUUAGAUAGUCUUUCUCUAACCUUAGCUGUUUGCAUGUUCUUGGUUCUUUGCUGGUUUAAGUUUUACUUUUCUAUUAGUAAAAAAAAUAUUUUUAAAUCAGUUUAUGGCAAUGAUCCGUUAAUUGCUAAAUAUUUUUCUUCUCUAAGUUAUAAAGUUCUUCAGGCUGACAUAAUUUAUGUGUGACUGAUCAUGAAUCUUUCUGUGUCAGGUUGACAUAUUUAUGGAUGCAGCUUUUGGAGCAGUCCUCACUGCCAUUGGGUUUCUUGAGAUCCAGCUGUCAGCACACCAUAUUGAUUUUCGUAGUCUGACUGUUGAACGAAUGGUUAACUUUUUAUGCCAGCAAUGUGAAGCCUCUUUACAGUUUCUUCAGUCAUUGUGCCAACAAAAGAUGUUUAGGGAGCGCCUACUUAGGAAUAAGGUUUACCAACUUGAACCGUUUUCUUUUCUCUGUAUGUUUGGAGCAAAGUCAUGUGCUAGGAAGUGUCUCAUCUAUGUUAACUGUAAGUUAUAGGGGCAGUAGAAAAAUAAGAAAACAAUUAAGAUUGGACUAGUUUAGUUUGUGGCCAAACUGGAAGCACAAUGCCCUGGAACUAUAUUAUUAAAAAUAUACAUGAUCUUAACUGCAUUUGUAUGUGGGUCAAGAGCUAAGGCACAUAGUGGGGAGGAGAUAUAAAUAGUCAAAAUCUUCAUUUGGCAGACAUAAAUGUAAUCGCAACAGUGAUGAAACAAUGUUUAAGUUUCUUGAAAUAUCACUGUAAAGAUUUGGGUCCCAUUUUACUAAUGUUCAUUUGCUUCCUGAAAUAAUUCAUGGUUUUCAUUAUUUUGAUAAAGUAGCUGUUAUUGAUACUAUUUCAGGAACUAUGUGGAAAGGGCGGAGUUCUUUUUCUAGCUCGAGCCAUCUUGAAGUUAAAUGUCCCACCUUUUACAGGGUCCUCCAGAAUUGCGGCUGCUCUUUCUAGGAUGAAAGCUAAAAUCCUAUCAAUUGUGAGUCUCAUUGAAGAAAGUCCACUGUUAACAUUUACUUGGAGGUUAAGUUGCUUUAGAAUCUACUGCAGUUUUCUAUUGUUCCAGUCACUAACUCCCUUUAUCUCAGCUGUUGAGUCUCUGCGAAGCAGAAAGCAUUUCUUACCUGGAUGAGGUUGCCAGCUCGCCAGAAAGCUUAAAUUUGGCUAAGUCUGUUGCAUUAGAGGUUAGUUUGCUUUAAUAAUCAAAGAAUGGGCCUCUCUUAGACCAUAGCCAAUUUAAAAAAUUUCUUCUUUAAAACUCUAUCGGAUUGGAUGUCUAUCAUAGGAAGUCAUUCUAUUUUUUCAGUUUAUGAUUUGAUGAAUGCUUGUAAUUUAUGUAUUUGAUUGUUUUGGUCCCCUACUGUAUACUUCCUGUAUACUUGGGUGACUCACUAUUAUGUCUUUGAAUAAAAUUUUCUUUAUUUAUCAAAAAAAAAUUAAAAAAAAUCAAAGAAUGGGCCUCUCUUAGACCAUAGCAGCUGCUCGUACAGCUAGUUGGCUUGUUCUGCAGAGCAAGACCUUUUUAACUGUUUUUUCCUAGGAUAUAAUGCCCCAAAAAUCUUCUAACAAUAUGAUGGUCAGCUAAUUCUGUAUACUUCUCUUCUAGUCCCAUUUUCACAAUUCCCUGGGCACUGAAUUCAAUUGGUGGAUAUUGGUCUUAUUGAGUGCCCAGCAAAAGAAAUGAUUAUAUGAGGUAGAGAUCAAAUUCUGUGUGAAUCCCUUGGGAGCUCUCAUUGACAGUUGGUCUGCAAAAUGCAUUUUUGCUAUUAGUGCUAUUAAAUUUUGUAAAUCUUCAAGAUUAGCCCUUUGGAAUUCUACACUCUAUUGGGUAUACGAAGUGUGCUUUUACUGUCAAGCUGCUUGCCAUUGAUAAAAUUUUCCUGUUGUAGGUUCUUGAGCUGUUGAAGACUGCACUUGGUAGAGAUCCCAAACAUCUUACUUCUUGUUCCGACAGAAGUUACCCAACGGGGUUUUUGCAACUCAAUGCAAUGCGCCUAGCUGAUAUCUUCUCCGAUGAUUCUAAUUUUCGAUCUUACAUUACAAUACACUUUGUAAGCCUUACUGAAACUCAAUGUCAAGAUACAAUUUCACACCACCACCACCCCCAGACCCCCCCUCCUGCCCCUCCCCCUUCUCAUUCAAUUAAAAUUAAAAGACAUGCUUUAGUUCCAUGAUUAUACCUAUCAAAAAAAAAAAAAAAAAAAACUGCAGGGACUGUUUUAAGACUAAUACGCUUUUAUAUAUUCUAAGAAGAUAGAAGCUAUAAUUUCUGAUUCCUUAAAAAAUUUUAAUUUGCGUGAUAUUGAAUUACUGUUAUUUGUUGUUAACAGUUGAAAAGUCAUUGUUUUGUCUACAUGUAAUUCUUUAUGGAUACAGUGCACAUAUCCAAGUAUUUUCCUUCCGAGUAUUUUCCUUGAUGAGGUUUGUGACUAUGUUUUUUGUGUGUUACUCCAGACUAAAGUUCUGACUGCAAUAUUUUCACUCCCUCAUGGAGAUUUUUUAUCCAGUUGGUGUUCUUCUAAUCUCCCAAUGAGGGAAGAAGAUGGUAGUCUUGAGUAUGAUUCAUUUGCAGCAGCUGGAUGGGUUUUGGAUAAACUUUCAUCAUUGGACUUAUCAAAUGGAACGAAUUUGGAAUUUACUUCACUUCCAAAUAACAUGCCCCAGACUUCCUAUGAACAUCAGAGAACAUCGUUAUUUGUCAAAGUAAUUGCAAACCUACAUUGUUUUGUUCCCACCAUCUGUGAAGGUUGAUUCUCUAUCAAUGAUUAUGUAAAUUUCAUGACAAGUUUGAUCAGUUCUCAGCAGUUUUUCCUGAUUAUACUAAUCAAGUUUUCUAUUUUAAUCCACAGAACAGGAGAGGAACCUCUUCCUUCUCAAGUUUUUGGAGUGCUUGCAAAUGGACCUAUCUAAAUCAUUACCUGAAUUUUCCAUUAAUUCUGAUGCUCCAAAAGCUACAACUGUUUGCAGGAACCUCCGUAAGUAUCUCUCUUCAAUGGUCAUUUUAAUGUUUUUUCAUUUUAGAGGACAUAAUUGCUGAUAUUCCUGUAUUCCUUAUGAGUGUAUUGUAUUUUUAGGUUCAUUGUUAAGUCAUGCUGAAUCUUUAAUUCCCAACUUUUUGAAUGAGGAAGAUGUCCAGCUUUUAAGGUGAUUACCUCUAGCACUUUCCCUCUCUUCCUUGAUUCUUCUUUUCGCAAGAUUUGUGUAGAAUUGCCUGAAAACUUUUGGAUAGCUACAACAAUGGUUUGUCAUGUAUAAUUUUGAAUGCAACAUGGUCAGCAGAACCUUACAUAACAUAGUCUAAAUUAGAGUAGCCUUGGUUGAUCAUCUCUAUAGCCUUCUGGCCUAGCAACCAAAGACCAAACACUUUCCACCACAAAGACAUGAUGGAUAAGUACCAAAUCACUAUUUUUUUUUUCUUCUAAUAUGCAUGUGGGUUCCACACCUCAUGCUAAGAUGUUUUAGGGAUGGUUUUACUCAAGCCUAAAGCUUUGGCUUCUGCUGUAGAAAAGUAAAAUGAAUCCUUGUGUAUAAAUAACAAUGUUUAGGAUCAAUUCAGGAGCGGGCUAAGUUUCCCUAAGUAAGCUUUCAAGUUGCUGUUUUGAAUCAUCUUCAAGUUGUGUAGAUGUUUCAACUUGUUUUUCUGGCUGUCUAGGAUUUGUUGCAUGCUUUUCUGACUCUUGAGAUUGCUGUAUCGGAUCUACUACUUGUUCCUCUUGUUGUUCCACCUUUAUAGCUAUAGCUGUUUUGGUGUGUCAGCAUCAUGUUCUGCCUUUCGAUCUUCCCUUUGUGGCACUUUAGCUAUAUGUUUUAGAGUUUCUGCUGCCUGCUCCUGCUGUAUAGUCUUUUUUGCAUGCAAUCUUGGCAGUUCAGCAUUAUCUUUAGGCUUGAUAUUUGUAGAUCUCUUCAAAUUUUACCAACAUCUCAAACUGAAUAGCUUUUUCUAUGGCAUCUUCAAGUCUUCUAAGUAUGCAUGAGACAUCACUUUUUUAAUUUCAUACCUCAGCCUACUCCUGACUUGAGCAAUAGAUACACCUUCUACAACUCCAGACAUAAUAAAUUAAUCCUUAUAUUUACUUGGCAUAAUGAAUCAUGCGCAUAUGAACUUGCUCAAGCGUAUGUACAAAUGAUCAAGAACAGAAUGUUGAGUCCUUGAAGAAUUUCUUCUCCAAGGACCAAGAAACAUCCUACCAUCUAUUUUUUUGGAUAAGUAACGAAAGUUUAUUGAUUAAAAAAGAAGAAGAAGAAGAAGAAGAAGAAGAAGAAGAAGAAGAAGAAGAAAGAGAGAGGAAAUACCAAGGUACAUCGGUGGUUUAAUUGAGUAACAGUACAUCAAACACUCAAAUUACAAAGCUCUAACAUAUCUAACAAGUUAAAACAAGGAAAUGAGUUAAAAGUAGUAGUCCAAUCCAGAAGAGAGUGAAGAAGUAGAGAUUUAAUCUCAAAGACAUAAUAUUCAUUUCUCUCAAAGCAUCUCACAUUUCAUUCCCGCCAAAGACACCUCAAGACACAGUGUGGCAUAGCCCUCUAUAAAGCCAUAUUUUGAUGUUUGCUAAAAGGACCUUGCCAAGCUGAGAAUAAAUUAGUAACACUCUGUGACAUAACCCAUAGAAGACCAAACAAAUUCCACACCAUUGUCCAUAACUCAAAAGCUAGUGGACAAUGAAGAAGAAGAUGAUUCACUGACUCCCUACUCCUUUUGCACAUGUAGCACCAAUCCACAACAGUAGCACCUCUAUUCCAUAAGUUGUCUAAAGUCAAAAUCUUUCCUAAGGUUGUAGUCCAAGAAAAGAAAGCUACCCUAUGAGGAAUAUUUGAACGCCACAUAGGCUUCCAUGGAAAAGGAAUGCUAGAAGUCGAGGAAAGGGGGAAAUAGUAUUCACACACCUUAAAACCCUUACUCUUUCCUGACUUCCAACAAAGUUUGUCAUGUCUUCACCCUUAAGAGGCAUAGAAUAUAUUAGAUCCAUGAAGACAGACAAAGGUUCCAACUCCCAAUCUUGAAUUGCUCUAGAGAAAAGAAUAUCCCAAUGCAGCAUCUGAUUAGGAAAAUGCAUGACUUUCGCUAUAGAGAACUCCUUAUUACAACUAAUGCAAUAAAGCUUCAAGAAGGCCUUUUUGAGGGUAUAGUCACCACACCACAAAUCAUUCCAAAAUUUUACUCUAGUACCAACUCCUACAUCAAAAUGGAGGAAUUUAGAGAAAGUUGGCCAGCUGUCUUAUGGUUCUCCAAAGGCUAACACUAUUGGGUUCCGACACCUCCCUUUGAUAAAUAUAAUCUCUUCUAACCUAUUAAUCUUUGUUCAAGUUUCUGAAGAAUAGGGUUCCAAAUUGUCCUUUCCUUGAAUGUGGCAUCCAAAGGAAGCCCAAAUAUUUCAUUGGCACCGAGGACUGUCGACAACCCAACAAAGCCACAAGCUCGUCCAUGUUGGACACCUCCCCAACUGGAAACAACUCUAACUUAGCCAGAUUAAUCUUCAACCCAUACACCGCUUCAAACAAAGAUAAAAUCUCUCGCAAUUUAGCUACAGGCUAGGAAUGGCAUCACAGAAAAUUAGAGUGUCAUCCGCAAAAAGUAGAUGGUAUACCAUUAAGGGAGUGUUGGCCAUGGUACCAAUAGUGAAGCUAGAAAUAUGCCCAGCAUGAACAACUCCAUCCAACAAACGACUUAAAACCCCCAUAAAAAAAGCACAUAAAAGCGGGGAAAGAGGGUCACCUUGACUCAGCCCCUUUGAACUCCCAAAGAAAUCCUUAAGGCUACCCAUUGAUCAAGAUGGGUGGAGAUACAAAACAAAAUCCACUUUCUCCAUGUCUUCGAAAACCCACAUCACUGCAACAUAAACAUAAGAAAAUCCCAACUUACAUGGUCAAAAGUUUUCUCCACAUCCAACUUGCAUAAAACUCCUGGUGCACCUACUUUGAGUUUGCUAUGUAAGCACUCAUUAGCAAUAAAAACCAAGUCUAGAAUUUGUCUAUCCAAAACAAAGGCAUUUUACCAUCUUGCCAAGACAAUUCACUUCUAUGGAUAUCUCAUAAUGUGCUCAUAAAAAAAAAGGGAUCUCCCAUAAUGUGGAAACAUCAUGGCAAAACCUACUCUUAUACCAAACUAAUAUAGGAUGGAAUCUUGAAUGAGCUUUGAUACUAUAACCAAUUUUGAUGUAGGAUCUUUAGCAAUUUAGCACUAAGUUGUGUUUGCUUGACAGAAAUUGAUUUCCAGAAAAUAUUUUACGCAUUUACGGGUGUUGUUUACUGUGAAAGUGUUUUAGGGUUUGAUUAGACAAUCCUAACACAUAAUAUAUUAUUUAUAUAUAAAGUACAUGAUAUUACUGUUUUGCCCCUAUUACUCAUAACACUCCCCCUCAAGCUGGAGAGCAUAUAUCAUACAAUCCUAGCUUGUUACAUAAUAAACCCAAACGAGUUUUACAUAAAGCUUUAGUAAACAUAUCAGCAAUUUGGACUCUUGUAGAAACAUAUGGAGUAGCAAUUACAUCAUCUUUUACUUUCUCCCGAGUAAUAUGACAAUCUACUUCAAUAUGCUUGGUUCGCUCAUGGAACACAGGAUUGAAGGCAAUGUAAGUUGCUGCCUGAUUAUCACAAUGCGUAGUCAUAGGCAGCUUCACAACGAAUCUUAUUCCUCAAGUAAAUACUUAAUCCACAUAAGCUCACAUGAUGUGUGUGCCAUGGCUCUAUACUCAGCCUCUACACUAGACCUAGCAACAAUAGUUUGUUUCUUACUUUUCCAAGUAAUCAGAUUUCCACCUAGAAAUGUUCAAUACCCAGUAAUGGAUUUUCUAUCUGACAGUGAUCCAGCCCAAUCAGCAUUAGUGUAGGCUUCUACCUGUAGGUGACCAUUAACUUUAUACAAAAGACCACGGCCUGGAUGUGCUUUAAGAUACCUCAUAGUUCGAAUAACUGCCUCCCAAUGUGGAAGGCGAGGAUCUUUUGUAAAUCGGCUCAAAACACUAACUACAAAUAAUAUAUCUGGGUGAGUAAUUGUGAGAUAAUUUAGUUUACCAACCAAACGACGAUAUCUCUCAGGAUUAGAUAAUAGCUCCCCCUGAUCUUCAUACAAUUUGACAUUAGGAUCCAUAGGAGUCUCCACUGGUUUAGAUCCUAACAAGCCAGUUUCUUCCAAAAUAUCCAACACAUACUUCCUCUAUGAUAAACCGAUGCCUUCUUUAGAUCGUGCUACCUCAAUACCCAAGAAAUAACGAAGUUUACCUAGAUCCUUAGUUCAAAAGGAGCUUUGAAGGUAUCUUUUCAAAUCAUCAAUACCUUGCUUGUCGUCUCCAGUUAUUAUAAUAUCAUCAACAUAUACUAUCAACAAAAUCUUUCCUCUAUCAGAGGUAUGAGAAACACAGAGUGAUCAGAGUGGCAACGUUGCAAUUCAAACUUAACACUACUUCACUGAAUUUACCAAACCAAGCUCUGGGAGAUUGUUUAAGACCAUAGAUGACCUUAUGCAACCUACACACUUUUCCAGACUCUCCCCUGAGCAACAAACCCAGGUGGUUGCUCCAUAUACACCUCUGCCUUGAAAUCGCCACUCAAAAAGGCAUUUUUAACAUCUAACUGAAAUAAUGGCCAACCCAAAUUAGCAGCCAAGGAGAUCAAAAUCUGGAUAGAAGAAAUUUUAGCCACAGGUAAGAAUGUCUCGGCAUAAUCAACACCAUAUGUCUGGGUAUACCCUUUGGCAACCAAGCGAGCCUUCAAACGCUCAAUAGAACCAUCAGGCAAAUACUUCACAGUAUACACCCAACAACAACCAACAAUAGUUUUCCCCGAAGGGCAAGUAACUAAAGACCAAGUAGCAUUUUCAGACAGGGCAGACAUUUCUGCCUCCAUAGUAGAUUUCCAACUAGAGAUGGACAUAGCCUCCUAGACAGACUUAGGAACAACAGUAGAAUUCAAGGAUGUGGUAAAGGCAUGGAGAGAUGAAGACAAGUGACCAUAAGUGACAAAAUUGAGAGAUAGGGUAAGAGGUACAAGAACGCUUACCUUUGCGCAAAGCAAUUGGAAGAGAGGCUGGAUCAGGAGUCGGAUCACUAGGCGGGGUAGAUGUCUUUGUUGGAGGUUUCUACCGACGACAAUAUACCUGUAGUGGUUUCUGAGGAGAUUAUAUAGGAGACACAAGUGGUAGGAGAGGAAGACAAGGAGGAGAACUGUCACUAGCAACUGAAGGAGAGAAAUAGGACUGAGAUUCAUCAAAUGUGACAUCAACACUAAUGAAAUGACGCCGAAGAGUAGGUGAGUAACAUCAAUAUCCUUUUUGAGUACGAGAAUACCCAAGAAAAACACAUUUAAUGGAUCUAGGAUCAAGUUUGUCACUCCCUGGACCUAAGAUAUGAACAUGGCACACACAACUAAAGAUCUUAGGAGGUAGAUGAAGCAAAGGUGCAUCAGGAGAGAGCACAGUAUAAGGGAUCUGACCACCUAGAACAGUGGAAGGCAUACGAUUAAUUAGGUGACAGGCAGUGAGAAUAGCAUCACUCCAAUAUGAUUUGAGAACAUGCAAAUGAAACUUCAAGGCACGAGUGACCUCUAACAAAUGACGCAUUUUGCAUUCAGCAACACCAUUUUGUUGUGGAGUAUGGGGGCAUGAAGAUUGGUGAAUUAUACCAUGAUCAUCAAAAAAUUGAGACAAAAGAUGUAUGAAAAUAUUCACGAGCAUUAUCAGACUGAAAAAUACGUAGUGAAGCAUUAAACUGAGUCUUUAUUUCCAUAUAAAAUGAUUUGAAAAUUGAGUACAAUUCAGACCGUUCUUUCAUAAGAUAAAGAUAGGUGACUCUAGAAUAAUCAUCAACAAAAAUGACAAAAUAUCUAAAUCCCAACAAUGAGGGAGUGUUUAUUGGACCCUAAAUAUCAGAAUGAACUAAAUGAAAAGGACUACUAACGUGACUCUCACGCCUAGAGACAAAAGGCACCCUAUGGUGUUUACCCAACUGACAUGCUUCACAUUGUAAAGACUCAAUUUGAUGACACGACGGAACUAAUGACUUCAAAUUCUUGAGAGAUGGAUAACCAAGGCGACAAUGAUGCUAAAGAGGUGAGAUAGACAAAUGAGAAGCCACUAAACGGGAAGAACCACAUCGAUCGAAGUAAUAAAGUCCACCGGCUUCAUGCCCUCCACCAAUAAUCUUCCCUGUCUUGAGAUCCUGAAAAAUACAAUGAGUGGAUAAAAAAAUGGCAGCACAAUUCAAAAUUUUGUUAAGCGUACUAAUUGACAAAAGGUUAAAAGGAAAAUCAGGAAUAUAUAAGAUAGAAGAGAGAGAGAAAGAUUAGGACUAAGAUUGUCAGUGCCCAAACCAGAAACUGUAGUGGCUGAGCCAUUUGCCAAUGUAACAUUGGGAAGACUACUAGAUUGCUCAAGGUCAAAGAGUAAACUUGGGAUACCUGUCAUAUGAUCAGUAGCACCUAAGUUAAUGACCUAAGGGUCCUAAGUGGCAAGACAAGCAGCAGAAGUACCUUGUUAAGCCAAAGUAGCAAUAGAAUCAGACCCAACAAAGUUGGAAUGCAGAGACAAGAGGCAAUUGUACUCUUUCUUAGGAAUAGAGACUACUCUGGAUGUUGGUGAAAGUGACUGUGAAGGUGGUUCUUGAACUUGAAAACUAGCUUGGUAAGCUGAGGGUUUACCAUACAACUCCCAACAAAAGUUUACUGUAUUGUCGUCAGAGCUAGCGAGUAAGGAUACGGUUGCCAGUGACAACAAUAUUGGUGGGUGGUGGUCAAAGGGUUAACGGUAGCGGCGGGUUGGUGGUUCUGAUACCAUGUUGUUUACUGUGAAAGUGUUUUAGGGUUUGAUGAGACAACCCUAACACAUAAAAUAUUAUUUAUAUAUAAAGUACAUGAUAUUACUGUUUUGUCCCUAUUACUCAUAACAACGGGUGUUUGGGACGAUGGAAAAGUUGGUCAACCAAAAAUUGUUUUCCGAUUGACUAUAAAAUAAAUGCACUUGUGGUGGAAAUUGGUUUAUACUUUCAUUUUCCAUGAACCAUAUUUUGCCUCACCCAAAACUUAUCAACUAAACCUCAUUCUUUGAACAUGUUACUUCUUAAUAGUCCAAAAUUCAGUACCAAAGAUGGUCUUUUAAUAAUAUUAUAAAAUUUUCCCUUUAAUGUAAUAGGUGUUUUACAUUUUCCCUUUAAUGUAAUAGGUAUUCUAUGAUCAUACAAUAAUCUUGAUAUGUUUAUCCAUUUCAUCCAUCUUACUCCUAAUCCAAUACUAAUAAUAAUAAUGAUACUUGUAAAUUUCACCUACUGAAAUCAAAAUUGGGUGCUUAAAAAUAACAAUAAAAAAAGACAAGGGAAGGGAGCAAAUCACCAACUAGAAACAGUAGAAUUAUGGCUUUUGAUGCAUAAUAAGCUCAUAAAAUUUCAUGGUAAUUGGUGUCCAAAUUACUACCUGAUCUUCCUACGAAAUACGUUUCUUAAGUGGUAAAAGGAAAAGGGAAAAUCGCCUCUCAAACUUCCUCUCCUCUAUAUAGUUUGCCACCCAUAGCAACCCAAGACCUUAUCACUUUCCUGUUAAUGCUUCCAAGAUUUAGUGGAUAAGCUUUCAUACUACCAUGAGUUAAGCUCUUGUUUUUGUGUUUUUUUGUUAGAAUUAUGGUUAAAUGAUUAAAUUCAUUAUUUCCAAAUAGUUUAACCUUUUAGGAAAAUUGGUAAUUUAACAUGGUAGUAGAGCAAGAGAUCUUGAGUUUGAUCCUUGGUUUUACUCUACUUUCCAUUUAAAAUGUAAAAAAUUCCACAUGUUGGGCCCCACUAGAGUUCAGGCCAACACGUGAAAGGAAGUGUUAGAAUUAUGAUUAAAUGGUUAAAUUCAUCAUUUUCUAAUAGCUUAAGCCUAAUAGCUUAAACCGUUGAGAGAAUUGGCAACUUAGCAGUUUUGGUUUCAUUUCUUAAUGGCUUCCACCAGCAAAUGAGGGAUUAUCCCAACAUAAUAUAUAUUUUCAUUUUUGCACGGAUCCCACUUGCAAAUGAUGAGGGAGAGGAACUGCCCCAACAUUUUCAUUAUAUAUAUGAUUGCCUCUUUAUAUAUAUAUAUAUAUAUAUUUUUUUUUUUUUUUUGAUAAGUAAUAAGUUUAUUAAUAUCAAAAAAAGGGGAACACCCUAGUACACAGGAAGUGUACGAGGGUUGAAACAAUCAAGAACAAAAAUUACAAGAAUCUAAGAAAUCAAGAAAAGAUAAAAAUGAUUGGUUCCGCAAUACAGCCAACCAAUCCAUUAAAGUUCUAAAGAAAAAUAGUUUCAAGUCAGAUAUGGAUCUCUCUUUAUCUUCAAAGCACCGACUAUUUCUCUCCCUCCAAAGACACCACAAUAAGCAAUAGGGAACCAUCAACCAUAUAUACCCAUUUCGAUGACGACCAAAACUACCUUGCCAACAUGCUAGAAGCCCCAUUACAGAUUGCGGCAUAACCCAACUCACUCCAAACAAACUGAACACCAUAGCCCACAGAUCCAUUGCAACUGGACAAUGAAGAAAAAGAUGAUCAACCGAUUCACCAUUACACUUGCACAUGUAGCACCAAUCCAAAAUCCAAACCUUCCUUUUCCGUAGAUUGUCAAUCGUUAAGCAUUUCCCUAAAGCAGCAAUCCAAACAAAGACAGCUACUCUAGAAGGAAUCUUUUGUUUCCAAAUGUUUUUCCAAGGAAAUGAAUAUUCAUUAGAGCCCACUAAGAGACUGUAAUGAUCCUGAACCAUGAAGCCCUUCUCUCUAUCCGAUUUCCAGCACUUCUUAUCAUCUCCAAACCCUCUCACCAAAGCACCAUAUAUGGUAGCCAUGAAACCAGCCAAUGCCUCUAAUUCCCGAGCAUGCACACCCCUAAAGAAACUGACAUCCCAAAAUAGGGUUCCAUUAUCAAACUUCAUAAUCUCAGCCACACUAACCUCCUGAUCUUGGCAUAUUCGAAACAAUUCAGGAUAGCCUCUUUAUAUUUUUAUCUUAUAUAUACUGUUUAAAGUGAACAUGUGUGUACAAAUACAGCACAAGCAUCUUCUGUUUAUCCCCAAAAAAAAAAAAAAAAAAAACAAAAACAAAAACAAAAAAAUUAUUCUGUUUGACUUCCGGGGUUUGCUUGCAUCCUAGUUAAUUUUUUUCUACAAACUUUUGUUGCAGGGUUUUCUUUGACCAGUUGCAGUUGCUAAUUACUUCUGGUGAAUUAGGAGAAAAUCGAGCCCAAGUAAAUUUUUUGUCCUUACAGUAAUUAAUUUUAUAUUUAUGCAGUUAUUAUUUACCAUAUCAGUUUUCUUUUGCUUUUUUUUUUUUUUUUGGGUAUAAAUUUUCAAUGUGUUUAAACCAUGCUGCUGGAGCAAAUUCAAGGAUAACAAAUUUGAGGAGUCAACAUCUUGGGAUAAGUUUUCCAAACUCAACCUCAGUGAAAAUCAUCAGGUGAAUGUCUGGGAUUAUUUUCAUGUAACUCACAGUUGAUGGUCACUUUAUUUGGCUGACGUGGAAUGUGAAUUGAAUUUUGGCCAAACAAUUUUAUUUGAUAUUUAAAUUACCUGGAGAGAAUUAUAGUAGAAGACUUUCUUAGUGGCUAUAAAAAAUGAAUAUAGGAGAGUCAUUGAGUUGCCAAACUUAGCUUAAGUUAACAAAAAUGUUAUUAAGCACAAAGUGAGAUACAUAUGUAUAUAUAUAUAUAUAUAUUAUUACAGUCAUUAACAUUAUGUCUUAAAUUUGAAACAACCUUUUUCUUAUUGGUAACUACAAAUGCACCUCAUUGGUUGUGAACCAAUGACCUCACCGUCUUUCUUACUCUUACACUCUUACGAGAGGAGGAGCUGUCAUUUGAGUUAAAGCUAAUUGUUUUAUGAAACAACAUAAACCAGCCAAUUAUUAAAUUGGCUUGUUGAGUUUUCCAAUGGUGAAUUGGUGAUAUAGCUUUUUCUCAACAUGGUAACCUGAGAAGUACAGUUUGAUUCCUGCUAGGAAGCUCAGAGUACUGGGGGAUACUCAUCACCUUUACUGAGAAAAGAUCAUCCAAUAUCUAAUAAAAGAAGAGGUACCUUGAAGGAGGAAAUGUCAGAGAAUUCUGCUUUUCAAGAAGUGGAGCAGAUAUAUGUCAAAAGUGAUCAUAUCGAUCAAGGUGAUGAUGUAAAUAGGGGGGAAAAUAGAGGUCUCUCUGGUAGGGGUGCAUCUGGAGGUUUGGGAGGCAUCAACACAGAUGUUCAGAAUGUUGAAACAAGCGGUUCAGAUACAAGCUCUUCAAGAGGAAAGAAUGCAGUUCAUCAAAUGGAAAAUGGUGAGUUUUCAAAAUCAAACAAGCACAUCAAAGAGAGUGGGUUUGGAGGAAAUCCUGAGGAUGAAAAGGUUACAAUGGAUCAGUGUGAAGAAAAGCAGCGGAAAAAACGGAAGCGAACUAUAAUGAAUGAUAAACAGGUGAUGCUAAUAGAGAGGGCCCUCUUGGAUGAACCUGAUAUGCAGCGAAAUGCAGCUUCAAUACAAUCCUGGGCUGAUAAAUUAAGUCUUCAUGUACGUCAAGUGCCCCUCAUAAUUUGAUAAUUAUGUUAGUUAAUUCUGUUUGUAAACAAUAACUCAUUUCUUCACUAAGAUUUUCCAUUGUGUUUUCCAGGGUUCUGAAGUUACGCCUUCGCAGCUUAAAAAUUGGUCAGUAAGGCUCAUCUGUUCACAUUAGCACACACCAGUGGUUUCAUAACUCUUUCCUUCUUCAUGUUUCAAUUAAUCCUCCUUUUGAUAUUCAAGAUAACAGGUUGGGGCUUCGGCUGAUUCUUAUUAGAUUUUAUCAUUUCCUACAACUUCUUGGAUUUCAAACAGCAAAUAACUGGGAAAAAAAUGCUGAUUACUUUAAUUAGUACACUUACAGCUUGAAAUCUGAGAAGCUUGUAGUGUCUCUUAUUAACUUUGUGCCAGAAAAGGAAGAUCGCCUAUGGAAAGCACAAACAUCACAGAUUAAGAUAUCAAUUUGGAUUUUUAUCUUUUUUCAUUAUCUAGUACCUUUGGCUUGAUUGAUCCAGGUGUAAUGGAAUAUAGCAGGGCAUGUAUGAUGCUCAAGAUCCAGGAUUUGAUAAUCUGAAUCAGCUGCUCUUAAAAGCAUACUCUUACCAUUGUUUCAGUGAACAAAGGGUUGCACUUGUGCCAUCCAAGAGUAGAAUCACAUGAUCCAAAAAUUCUCACCAUCUAGAUUUCUAAGUUGAGUCUAGUAGUCCUUACGUCCUAAGCUUCUUGUUGCAAGCCCUUUUUUAUAUAGGUAAUUUAAAAAAAUUUAUUGAAGAUUGAAAUUCUCUUUGCAAGCCUUUUUUGAUGACGAUGAACCCUGGAGACCAUGUAGAGCAUCAUGUGAAUUGAAGAGUAGAUUAAUUAUUUAGGUUAUUAGAUGAAUGGUGUUUCCCAAUGUUGUGUGGACUGUUUCCUCUGUCUCUUGUUCCUUCUCUUCUUUAAGAGCCUGGUUCAGGGAAGAUCACUUGUAAGACUGUUAUUGAUUCCUUUCAUUGUCUGUACAAAAGAAGGCACUGGAGAAGAUUGUUUGUCUUUUGGGUCUUAGAACUUAUAAGCAUUAUAGGCACUGCAUCAGUUGAGGUUGGGAUAGAUGUUUUUGCCAGUGCUGAAUAUUUGUGGCGCCACCAGUUGUUUGGAAAAUUUACAUGUGGAUACUGGAUUCCUAGGGAGGCCAUCCAACUUUUCUCUCACCCAAAGACAAUUCAAAUGACUAAUUUUAGCUUCUAUUUUAUUGGACCUUCCUGCAAUUCCUUUUAAUCUUUGACGUCAACCAUCUAGUCAAUUGAGUUCCAUAAUUUAUUUGGUGAUAAUUGAACUCUAAAAUAUAUUUGUUUGUCUGAUUUAUUGAUAAAUGCAUUACAUUGAAUGAACAUAAUAUUUGCACUGCAAAUCUGCAAUGUACUUCUUAUAUUGCAUCAGGCUGUAGCCUAGCGCCUCUUCAUGUUAUUUUGAAAGUUGUGUCUCUGAAACUUAUAUAUAUAUAUAUAUAUAUAAAUGUUUUAUGCUUUAUCAACAGGCUGAAUAAUCGAAAAGCCAGGUUGGCCCGCACAGCUAAAGAUGUACGUGCAACAUCAGAUGUUGACAAUGCCCUUCCAGACAAGCAAGAUGGACCAGGACCAGUGUCCAGUAACUCAGUUCCAGGUGAAGAUGCUAAUGUCCCAUUGAAUGAGAGAAGAGAUACUCAAAGCAUGUUGAGAAUCGGCCGGAGUGGUGAGAACUCUGAUACUGCCAUGGCAGAUUUUGCUGAUAUUGGCCCAGCAGAAUUUGUUCAACGCAGGCCGGGUCAGUAUGUUGUUCUUGUCGAUAUGCAUGGAGAGGAGAUCGGUAAGGGAAAGGUGCAUCUGGCGGAUGGUAAUUGGUAUGGACGGAGUCUGGAGGAAUUAGAGACUUGCGUUGUGGAUAUAAACGAGCUUAAGGCUGAGAGAGGGGCAAAACUUCCAUAUCCAUCUCAAGCCACAGGCACCUCAUUCAAUGAGGCUGAAAUAAAAUUUGGGGUAAUGAGAGUAUUGUGGGAUGCUAACAGAAUUUUCAUGUUGCGGUCUCAAUGA